rnacentral:lncRNA from 1 species
ACCCCAGUUGAACUGAAUUUGCUCACUGGGCAGAGGCAGGACUGGAGGGGAGGGCCUUUCUCCAGGGCCUUCCACAGCAGCGGGUGAAUCACCAACCACCCUGCCUUGGAGAAAGGCCUUAAGAUAGAUUUUUUUUUCCUCUUUAAAUUCUCUGAAGACUGAAGUUCCUUAAAGACUAAGAAAACACUUGCCUCCCUUCCAGCUCCUUUUCCUGGUGCUCUGAGGAACAUUUCGGGAGCCUCCAGAACUGAAGAGGGGGCCAACUCUCUGGAGAAAAAUGAAUGGAUGUAGGCCCAAAGGAGCCGAAUGUUUUCCUUGGCUGAAUGGCAAGCAAGCACCAAGUGUCCACAGUUUCCGGAGUGUGGAUAUGAACAGCCGUCUUGGGUCCUGAGGUGGAAGCCAUGUGUGGAAGAUGGAGGGCAUCGGUUAGAAGGAGUCUAGUCCCUGAUGGUCACUGAGCUGCAGAACCAGCCUGGGCUGCUUCCUGCUGGAUGUCACUUACUAGAGAGCGAAAUUAAAUGUGCUUCAGCUACUGUUA